rnacentral:rRNA from 1 species
UACGUAGGGGGCGAGCGUUGUCCGGAAUUAUUGGGCGUAAAGAGCUCGUAGGCGGCUUAGCAAGUCACGUGUGAAAUCUCCAGGCUCAACCUGGAGAUGCCACGUGAUACUGCUAUGGCUUGAGUCCGGUAGGGGACCACGGAAUUCCUGGUGUAGCAGUGAAAUGCGUAGAGAUGUGGAGGAACACCGAUGGCGAAGGCAACCCCCUGGGCUGAUACUGACACUCAUGCACGAAAGCGUGGGGAGCAAACAGG